GGGGAAUAUUGGGCAAUGGGCGAAAGCCUGACCCAGCAACGCCGCGUGAAGGAAGAAGGUUUUCGGAUUGUAAACUUCUGUCCUCAGGGAAGAAGAAAGUGACGGUACCUGAGGAGGAAGCCCCGGCUAACUACGUGCCAGCAGCCGCGGUAAUACGUAGGGGGCGAGCGUUGUCCGGAAUGACUGGGCGUAAAGGGCGCGUAGACGGCUGUCUAAGUCUGGAGUGAAAGUCCUGCUUUCAAGGUGGGAAUUGCUUUGGAGACUGGAUGGCUUGAGUGCGGAAGAGGUAAGUGGAAUUCCCAGUGUAGCGGUGAAAUGCGUAGAGAUUGGGAGGAACACCAGUGGCGAAGGCGACUUACUGGGCCGUAACUGACGUUGAUGCGCGAAAGCGUGGGGAGCGAACA
rnacentral:rRNA from 1 species